UUUUCAGGAGGAGAUGGAAGAUUGAGAGCAGAGUGCAAGAAUGGGAAGAGGGCUUCGUGCCCUGUGCACGUUUGCCACCUAGUGACCAAACUGAAUGGUGUGCUUCUCACCUCAGCCUGAUAGCCUGACCUUGACUCCUGAGUUCCACGAUCGCUUCACAACUGCAAGUCACCAUCAUACAAAAUUUGAGUUUCCCUAAGUCCGCGCCUUUGAGAGCUUUGGAACGAUAUGGUUUCCGAUGGCGCCAGUGUCAAGGUCUUCCAACAACUCCGGGUCUUCCAGCGACUUCAAGUCUUCCAAUAAUCUCAAGGUCUUCCGGAUAAUCCUGAGCUUCCAGAAAAUCCACAUCUUCCAGACAAUCCAUGUCUUCCGGACAAUCCAUGUCUUCCAAGAAGCUCCAAGUCUUCCAGCAAAUCCAGUCUUCCAGCAAUUAUAGGUCUUCCACCAAAUCCAGAUCUUCCAGGAAAAUCCACGUCUUCCAGGAAAUCCAUGUCUUCCAAUAAUUUCAAGGUCUUCCAUCAAAUACAGAUCUUCCA
rnacentral:lncRNA from 1 species